rnacentral:rRNA from 1 species
UACGAAGGGGGCUAGCGUUGUUCGGAAUCACUGGGCGUAAAGCGCACGUAGGCGGAUCUUUAAGUCAUGGGUGAAAUCCCGAGGCUCAACCUCGGAACUGCCUUUGAUACUGGGGAUCUCGAGUCCGGGAGAGGUGAGUGGAACUGCGAGUGUAGAGGUGAAAUUCGUAGAUAUUCGCAAGAACACCAGUGGCGAAGGCGGCUCACUGGCCCGGUACUGACGCUGAGGUGCGAAAGCGUGGGGAGCAAACAGG